rnacentral:rRNA from 1 species
GGGGAAUAUUGGACAAUGGGCGCAAGCCUGAUCCAGCCAUGCCGCGUGAAUGAUGAAGGCCUUAGGGUUGUAAAAUUCUUUCAACGGUGAAGAUAAUGACGGUAACCGUAGAAGAAGCCCCGGCUAACUUCGUGCCAGCAGCCGCGGUAAUACGAAGGGGGCUAGCGUUGUUCGGAAUUACUGGGCGUAAAGCGCACGUAGGCGGACUGAUUAGUUGGUGGUGAAAUCCCAGAGCUCAACUCUGGAACUGCCAUCAAUACUGUCAGUCUGGAGCAUAGUAGAGGUUAGUGGAAUUCCAAGUGUAGAGGUGAAAUUCGUAGAUAUUUGGAGGAACACCAGUGGCGAAGGCGACUGACUGGGCUAUUGCUGACGCUGAGGUGCGAAAGCGUGGGGAGCAAAC